AUAUAUAUUUUCCAUUAUAGAUAUAUUUUACAAUAUCCUAAAAAGGAUAUCAAUGUGAUAAUGUACUUCUUUCAUUUAUAAAUGUAUAUGGCUUAUCUUCUGUGACACAAGUGUCAGGAUCAACAUUAAUGUACAGUGAUAGCCUUUAAGUAACAACUCUGUGUUUAAGUAGAAUUCUUGUAGAGAAUGACAGUUAAUUACAAAAUUCCUCACACACACACACACACACACACACACACACACACACACACUCAGUUUUGGGGCAGUCCCAAACACCCUGACUUUCCCCAAACGCAUGUCUGUCCUGCACACAUAUGCACGCACAGAUGCACACAUGCACAUUUAUGAUGACCACAAACACUCACACAUACACCUGUCCUGGGCACAACACACACACGCACACACACACACACACACACAGACACACAUACAUACACACAGUUGUACCCUGGAACACACAUCCAUAGAUAAAAAUCCAAACCAACUGCCAUGCACUCACACGUUGGCAUGGCAGUGUGCCAGACCUUAUGCCUGGCUAAGCUCGAGUGAGUAUUGCCAUGGCAACAGAAACGCCAGUGUUGCCAAGGGAGCAGCUGGUGAAUGGUGGAAUAUUAGCCUUCAAACAGAUUCACUGGCAGAAAGAGAGAGAGAAAGAGAGAGAGAAAUAAAGACUGAGCAACGAUGUCUGCUUGUCAAAGAAGAAUUUUGAUCAAAUGAAAAAUUACAUCAUCUUCAGUAACCAUGGUGAAUCCCAGGAACACCUGGUAUGAGGUGUCAAACACCCUGAAAGUCCAUCACAGGUCACCAUAACCACACAUUCAUACCUGGGGCAAUUUAUCAUAGCCAAUCGACCAAUUUGCAUGUUUUUAGGAGGCGGGAGGACACAGGAGAACCUGGAGGUUGGAGACACUUGUAGAGAGAUCUAGUCCACUACUAUGUACAGAAGAUUUCAAGCUCCUUUAUAUUGUUAGGUGUGUGCAUGUGGACUGCCCUCUCCAAUUUAGUCCAGCAGUAGGGGACACAUCCAGACACCGAGACGGCCAUUGCAAAACACUGACUUGGUGUUCCUGCAACCUUUUCUGUAUUGAUUUGUAUAAAUGUUUGCACUCGUUAUCAUGUUGUAGAAACUACUUGAGCACAGAGAGGAUUUAACCCCUUGGAAGAAGCAAAUAUGUUUUAAGCUGAAUUAUCCUGGUAAUGAGAGCAACGUAUGAUGCCAUCAAUCUUCAAAAGAGCCUGGACUACUAGCAGCAAAAUAGCCUUUGACAGCCUCAAAUGACUUAUACUGGGAGUCUUAUACACCCUUAGACUUAUGAAAGGCUGUUUCCCUGGAAAACAUGAUUACAUCUUUAUUUCAUUGGUGCAUUUAUCAACCCAUGAAUGACUUACUUGGUGCAGCAGGAAGUACAAAGCCCACUCCAAUACCCCAAUCUAUACAGACAAAUAAUUUCAAUUUUAUAAAACACAAUAACAUGACUAUGAGCUGAAACUGAAGAAAACAUGGUGUGUUCAAAUGAUUAUAUUCAAACACAUUACAAUAGCACUCCCAGAGCGAGCCAGUGUUUCAAACGGUUUUAUAUUUAUAUAUGUGUUAUAUUUUGUGUUUGGAGUUGGGUGUUUUACAUACAUGAGAUUAAUCUUGUCUAUAUAUUACAAUAGAAUGACAUUUAAUUAAGAUAAAUUAUUAUUAGACAAACCUUUUAGAAACUGACUCCAAAAUCAUCACAAAUACCCUUUUCCUUAAACUUCUCAGAAUGUCCAUCAGAGUGAGGGGGUGGUCUGUUCUUUUUCUCUCAUGUAUUAUGUUAAGGGCCAGGUUGUCACUGCUGGGGGAUUAGUGGAACUGACUACUCAGGGCCCCUUAGUUAGAGAGGCCCUCAAGAAGCCUGGACUAGAAAGUGUACAGUCCUUUGCCGAAGCACUUCCUUGGUGCUGAUAGUCUGAGAAACUCCAAAUAAAAAUGCCACAUCUAGAACCAACUUGGAACUUUUAAGAUAGAACAUCACACACCAUUGCACAAAUGGUGAUCAGCAAACUGUGCAAUAGCUUAUGACCCCCUUUAAAAUGUAUAAAAAGCAUUAUCAUUCAUAAAGAGUUUACCUGGAAUAGACUUUCCUACUAUCAACCUUAAGACCACUGUUUCGUUACAAGUACUGAGCAGGAUCAUAUCACCACCAACUUCACCGUACAAUUACUUACAGAUUACACUGUACCUCAAACUUAAGAAUUGAUGGAUCAUCUGACAUGAAGACCUACAGUAUAACAGAUUGCUUAACUUGUGCAGUGUGAUCACCAUCCUCAUCACGUCUCCUUGAAAUGAAUCACAGCAGUGCUGCUGUGUUGACUGUAGAGGUGCCAUCAUUUCAAGCGGAAAGCAAUUAACCUGUGUCCCAACCUUUCACUAAUGAUCACGUCAUCACUGCCUUACCUAAAAUUGCUGCUUUGUUUUACCAAUUCCUUCCUCUGUCUGUGACACUAAUCUCUCUGUCACAUGCAUAUCCUGGUCAUGACCUUUGAGGUUAGACAAAAUGUUCUCUCUCACCACCAAUCUGUGUCACGAGUGCUAAAAAUCUAUUCAUAAAUUUGCUCCAA